AUUUGAGAGAGGUCUGAUCGAUCAAGAACACCCAGGGCGACACCCACACUUUUCAAACCCUAGUUCACAAGAAAAACUGUAAAUUGAAGGCCUAAAUCAAGCAAUAAUCGAAAUCUGAACAUGGAAUCGUGAUCACCUCGUCAAGGGGAUCAUAAGGCAAGGAAUCCGGAACGUCAAGUGGACACGCCGGAAGUGAUACACGCGGAAAAGGUGUGCUUUAAAGGUGACUAUGGUGGAUUUCCGGAUGGCGGUCAAGCAAUGUAGAAGAACCGAACACGUAUUUUGAAGCUUCCGCGUUAACUUAAGUUUGUUUAGAACAAUGAUUUUGAUGUGAAUGAAUUGACAAUCAUGUCCUAAGGUUUUAAACUAGUUGGUGGUGACUAGUAUAAGUUACUUUAAACUUCCGUUUUGUACUUUCAUGAUCAUGUAGUUAAUUUGAAAUGAAAACUUUUUGUAAAUUGGAAA